GUCGUUGUAGGAGGUGAGGCAGCGGUGGAUCCCCCCAGAUUGAAAUGACUUGGCCAGUCAAAAGGGAGAUGGAAGAAAUACCCACCAUUCUUUCACUGUGAUGUCACAUUCUGGCUCUUACAGGAAUAUACAGUUUGAAGGGGUUCUCAGUAAUUGAGCCUCAGAGGGCAGUCCAUCAAGCUCACCUAUCAACAGCAGAAAAGAAAGGAUUAAAGGGACCUCACAGCUAUCAGACAUCAGUCCAAGUUUCACAGCAGUCAUUACUGACUGGCAUCAAACAUCUGUGCAACUUAAAUUCUAGAUUGUUGACUGUUAUAUAAAUGCGACAGAGCACUCUGACAGGAAAACAUUAAAAGUCAAUUAUCAUGGUCUAUAAUUGUACCAAUGAGGUAGAUAGAACAAGAGAUCUGAUCCUGCAGGCAAAGUUUAGUGAGCUAGCAAGGCAACUAGCAUCUAGGACCUCAAGGAUAAUAAUGUCUGGCAGAUUCCCAAUAACAGAUCCAUGUGUAUUAAUAUGUCUUUUUAAGUAUGCAAAAGUGUGUCAUACUGUUAGCUCCACUGGCAUACUUAAAUUGGG